CGGCGCGGCUACAGAGUUGUUGUCGACGCGUUCGUCGUUGGGGCACUGGGCGCUUGGGAUCCGGGGAACGAGUUCGUCCUCGAUCUCCUCCGCAUCUCUCCAAAGUACGCUUCUUUAAUGAGAAAGUUAAUGGUAGCGGAGACCAUUGGAUGGUCCAGAGAUAUUUACGUUGAGCAUGUGUCAGGAAUAAGACAGUACUCGGCACACAAUGAAAGGAAUUCUAACAACACGUGUAACAGAAACGACGAAAAUGAAAAUAACAUUAACUAAAAACCAGACGUUAAAAAGAAUAAAAGAAGUAGACUCUAUUGAUCUUCUCUCGACAAUAAUGAAUGCACAACAAUAUUGUAAUAAAUAUAUAUAUAUCUCUAAGCGCUAUUAACCAGAAGAAUGUGAGGCCCAGCGCAUCCUAAUUCAUGUAUUGUAGGACAUGCCUCAUCUCCUCCUCAUAUGAACGUGGAGAUGCUUUUUUGUAUUUUUAUUUCUAUUGUAAACCGAAGCUGUGGAAGAUCCGGUCCAAGAGGACGAUGGUUUUAUUAAUUAAUGACGCGCCCGAAGAAAAUGCGACAAAUCUGAAGGCAAGCUGUGUUUUGUUAAAUAAGCAUAGAGGAACAUUCCUAAAAUGCGGGUGAUAUUUAUGUGAUAUUGUAUUUUUCAAAUAAUUGUAACUCAAUGUAUCACCCUACAGCUUCGGCUGUGGGGAAACAUUCAGUGAAAAAUAAAGUCCAAUUUAUCUGUU